GGGGGGGGGGGGAUGGGGGGUAGGAUAAGCGGUUGGCACAUCUAUAGUGAAUAGGUGUAAAUAGGUGCCUCGAUCUUAUUAAACAGACAUAUUUCUUGUGCUGGCCGGGGGAAGAACAGGGAGAAGAUGGGGUGAAUUUAUAAGGUUGACGAGGAGGACAAGGAGUAAAUAAGUGAGAUACAGGAAGAACAGGGAGAAGAUGGGGUGAAUUUAUAAGGUUGACGAGGAGGACAAGGAGUAAAUAAGUGAGAUACAGGGAAAAUAUAGGUACGGAGAGGCGUUGGUAAGUGUAGAACGAUGAAGAUGACUGUCCUUGUAUAUCAACAGGGACACGUUAAGAGAGAGAUGAUGACUUUACGGGGUUAGCAAGGCAGAAGACAUGCAUGAGAGAGGAGGAGGAAAGAUGUGGAGUGGGAUGACUGAUUGAAUGAUAGUUUAUUGUUGCAGGUAAACAAGGGAGGAGGGAGGAACAUGCCAUCCCAACCCCCAGGCAGGGCAGAAUGUGAUUAUACAACUAGUAAUACACAUGUAGGUAGCACCAUGACACUAAAAAGAUACAAUGGUAGGAAUGAAUGCACAACAAGGGAGGGGGGCGGUACCUGCCUGAAAAUACCUGAAAAUAAAAUGUGGGGACGGAGAAAGUGAUAAUGGAUGUGGAUGAGCUGGAAUGUGAUAAAAAGGGAAACAGAUAAACAAGACUCAAGAUAAAGGGUAGUUGAGGAGACAAUAGAAAGCAGGAAAAAAAUAGGGAGUGAUAAGAUUGAACUGAAAAAAAGGAGCAAAUGAAGAGAUAGAGAUAGAGAGGCGGUGCUUGUGUUUCCGUAAUGAAUGCAAUGGCGACAAGUUAUCUAGUUCACGUGUGUGUGUGUGUGUGUGUGUGUGUGUGUGUGUGUGUGUGUAUGAUAGUUGUGACUGAGCACACAAUAAGGCCUCAUACACUUACCCCCCCCCCUCCCUCUCUCUCUCCCUCCCUUCGUCUCUCCGUCCCUCGCCCUCCCUCCAUUUUCCCUCCUUUCCCUCUUCCUUCUCACUCCCCUUAACUCUCUCUCUCUCUCUCUCUCUCUCUCUCUCUCUCUCUCUCUCUCUCUCUCUCUCUCUCUCUCUCUCUCUCUCUCUCUCUCUCUCUCUC